UACAAAACGAAGUUUUAAUUGAUACUUGUCACAUUUCAUUCAAAUUUCUCAUAUCUGUAAAAUUAAUUUUAAAGAAUUGAAUCAAUCUGAAACUAAUUAACUGUUUGCAGGAAAAACAGACUUUUCCAUUUGGAAAACUUGAAGGUCAAGAACUGUCUUUCAUUUGGGAGGAUGGACCAAAAAAUGUGGUUGAACCUACAUGUAUGCAGCCAGCAGUGGUUUUCCCUUAUCCAAUUGUUGAUUGUGGGAUAACGUUUGGAUGGUCAAAUGAAACAGUGGAUGAUGAACAAGAAAAAAUGCCAUUGGAGAAAGCCAGCAGUUCAUGUGAUAAACAUCCAUUCACAUCAAGGGUGAGUGCUCUUUUCAAGUUAUAUCACAGAAUUUUGAGUG